rnacentral:tRNA from 1 species
GCCCUAGUAGCUUAAAUCUAAAGCAUUGGUCUUGUAAACCAAAGACUGAAACCUAAAACCUUCCUAGGACU